CCGGCCGCCGCAACGGCUUGUUCUCGCGGCUUUCCCCGAUCGUCGCCGGCGGCCGGCGGGGAGCACCCUCCCCCGCGGCGCUCCUAGCUGAGCUUAGCGAGAGAGCGCAGCGGCGUGGGGCCGUCCAGGUGGAGGGACCGGGCGUCGGCGCUCCCCAUCGUCCCCGGCGGCCGGGGCAUGGACAGCCCCAGGAGGAGCGCGGCCGCGGCGGCCUUGCUGCCCGACGACGCCAUCGUGGAGAUCCUCUCCCGCGUCCCCGCCAAAUCCCUCUGCCGGUUCAAGUGCGUCUCCAAGGCCUGGCGCGACCUCAUCGCCGAUCGGCAUCACCGCAAGAAGCUUCCCCAAACCCUCGAGGGCUUCUUCUACGCCUACGACGGCGACGGCGACGACGACGAGAUGCCCUGUGGCAACCCGGGCGAUGGCGGCGGCGAGGGGGAUCACGUCGUCCACGGGCGCUUCAUCAACACGCUUGGUAGAUCCGUGCCCCUCGCGUCUUUCUCCUUCCUGAGGGAGCAGCCGGGGAUUGAGGAGCUCGGUCUCUUGCAUUCCUGCAACGGCCUCAUCCUCUUCGGGCACAGAAGGGCUGGGGACACCUACGAAUCACUGGGCUUUAUCGUGUGCAAUCCUGCCACUGAGCAAUGGUUGGCCGUGCCCAACUCCGGCUGGAACCCUAGUUUGUUUCACCUAUGGGAUGAGAGCGAGGAUUCGGACUCCAACUCCGACGGUGAUCCUAGCUGCAGGUUCACCUAUUUGAUUUUCGAUCCUGCUGUGUCCUCGCACUUUCAGUUGGUCCAGUUCUGGACGUACGAUGAGAUAUUCGCGGAACAGGUGCGCACCUACUCGUCUGAAACUGGGGUAUGGUCCGUGAGGACAAGUGAGUGGAGUGAAGAUGAUGCCUUAUCUUUCUUCGCAAGAUGCGCCUUCGUUAAUGGCAUGCUGCAUUUCAGUGUCUUCCAAUUUGAUGGUAUAGAGCAGGAGCUAAUAGUUGCACUUGAUGGGGAAGGGAAGAAGUGUAGGAUCAUCAACGGGCUGGAGAAUUCUGGUGAUGCUGUUUUUGUUGGUCAAUCCCAAGGACAGUUGCAUUAUAUGAGUCAACAUAGAGAUGACACUCGUCAGAUGACUGAACUGUCCAUUUGGGUUCUUCAAGACUAUGAUACAGAAGAAUGGGUUCUGAAGCACAGUGUCCCGUUUUUGCAGCUGUUUGGAAGAAUGAAUUGCCAUGCUGAAAAUGACUACAAUGUUGUUGCCAUUCACCCGGACCACAAUAUGAUCUACUUUUUUCAGGACUGGGACCUGAAACUGAAAUCAUAUGACAUGGAUAGCAAGGAAGUGCGCACUCUCCGCACUCUAGGGGUUGGCCGUCAGAAUAUUUUACCAUAUGUUCCCUAUUUCAAGGAGUCACCGGUACUUGCUAGUAAGCACUGAAAUUGUGCCUUGUGAGGUACUAGUCAAAUUUGAUGUUCCAAGUAAUGUGUUUCAGCACAGGAGCAUCUAGCGACAUAAAUAUAUCUGUAGAAUUAGGUUGUAAGCUAUGAUUUCAACGAGGUGCGGUUUGCGCAAUUGCACAGAACAGCACUCGGAUUCCCGGAAGGAAGAUUUUUCUUCUCAGGUACGCCAGCAAGACCUGCCACAAGGGAGGCUGCUCUGGAAGGUGAAGCCGCUGUCAGGGCUGAGUUCCUGGAAGAUCCAUAUGGAUGCCUAGGCUCUCUCCACAUGAAGAGGCUGAAGAGGGAUCCAUUUCAUCGUACCAUUCCGUACCCUGAUGGUUGCCCUGAGUUGAAGAGCCUGUUCUCCUAUUGUCGCUCAGUGCCUUUCUCCGGGCACCUCCCUUGGACAGAAUAGUUACAUGAAGGAUCAGACAGACUCUUGCCUGCCUCUGCAGAAAUCCAAUUCCAAUAUACUUGCAAUGACCAUGUUCUGAACUGACGGGGAAGAGAAUAUUUACACUAGUGACAAUUGAUUUUGCAAGGUAGAAGCAAUGCCUACAUGGUCGAUUUUCCUCUUCUUUUUUUUUCUUCUUCCUUUCCUGCCAGCCUCCUCGCCUGGGGGGCACGUGUUAUGUAGAAAGAACUUUCCUUGUAGCUGAACCUGCUCCUGUUGUGAUAAUCUAGGUACACCAUGAACAUUGGUACUAAUUGAUAUCCUGCUGUUUUUGCACUACUGAUCCUUCA